ACGGGUGAGUAAUGCGUAGGAAUUUACCUCAAGCGGGGGAUAGCCCGGAGAAAUCCGGAUUAAUACCGCAUGUGCUCUACGGAGUAAAGCGGGCCUCUUCUUGAAAGCUCGCACUUCGAGAUAAGCCUACGUCGGAUUAGCUUGUUGGUAGGGUAAAAGCCUACCAAGGCGACGAUCCGUAGCUGGUCUGAGAGGACGAUCAGCCACACUGGGACUGAGACACGGCCCAG
rnacentral:rRNA from 1 species